AGAGUUUGAUCAUGGCUCAGAUUGAACGCUGGCGGAAUGCUUUACACAUGCAAGUCGAACGGCAGCACGGACUUCGGUCUGGUGGCGAGUGGCGAACGGGUGAGUAAUGUAUCGGAACGUGCCCAGUCGUGGGGGAUAACGUAGUGAAAAUUACGCUAAUACCGCAUACGAUCUAUGGAUGAAAGCGGGGGACCGUAAGGCCUCGCGCGAUUGGAGCGGCCGAUGUUAGAUUAGGUAGUUGGUGGGGUAAAGGCUCACCAAGCCGACGAUCUAUAGCUGGUCUGAGAGGAUGAUCAGCCACACUGGGACUGAGACACGGCCCAGACUCCUACGGGAGGCAGCAGUGGGGAAUUUUGGACAAUGGGCGCAAGCCUGAUCCAGCCAUUCCGCGUGCAGGACGAAGGCCUUCGGGUUGUAAACUGCUUUUGUACAGAACGAAAAGCUCUGGGUUAAUACCCUGGGGUCAUGACGGUACUGUAAGAAUAAGCACCGGCUAACUACGUGCCAGCAGCCGCGGUAAU
rnacentral:rRNA from 1 species